rnacentral:rRNA from 1 species
AUACGGAGGAUGCAAGCGUUAUCCGGAUUUAUUGGGUUUAAAGGGUGCGUAGGCGGUUUGCUAAGCGGGAGGUGAAAUGCCGGCGCUCAACGUCGGAAGUGCCUCCCGAACUGGUGGACUGGAAUGACUCUGCCGUGGGAGGAAUGUGUAGUGUAGCGGUGAAAUGCUUAGAGAUUACACAGAACACCGAUUGCGAAGGCAACUCACGAAGGGUUGAUUGACGCUGAGGCACGAAAGCGUGGGGAUCAAACAGGAUUAGAUACCCUGGUAGUUCACGCAGUAAACGAUGAUGGCUAACCGCUGGUUUUUUCGGAUCAGUGGCCAAGCGAAAGCGAUAAGCCAUCCACCUGGGGAGUACGACCGCAAGGUUGAAACUCAAAUGAAUUGACGG